UCUCAAUCCCUGCUGCUUUCAGACUCAACUUCCUCUCCAGCAGCGUUUAACUGAACUAGUUACAUUGCUUCAGCACUUUCCGGGAAACUCCACUCAAAGCACUUAUUGGAUGAUGAGGACUCGGUGCCACCACCACCAAUAUGCAGCAUUCACCUGGCUUUUUGCAAAGCCUUUGUUUUCUGGCAGGAUUUCGCCAUACCAUCCUUUGAAGUUCCUGAGUCAGCCAAGACAGGGUGAAAGUUCUUCAAUGAAAGUUCUAUUAUCUUGAGAUGGGAUUUGGGACCAGAUGGUACAAAAGUCUACUUUUAAAUUUUUC